UACAGAGGGUGCAAACGUUGCUCGGAAUCAUUGGGCGUAAAGCGCACGUAGGCGGCUCCAAAAGUCGGAUGUGAAAUCCCUGGGCUCAACCGAGGAAGUGCAUCCGAAACUGCGGAGCUUGAGUAUGGAAGAGGGUCGGCGGAAUUCCCGGUGUAGAGGUGAAAUUCGAUAGAUAUCGGGAGGAACACCGAGUGGCGAAGGCGG
rnacentral:rRNA from 1 species